UCGGGUGCUAGAAUAAGAGAAGCACAGAGGUUCGAAUCCUCUUCGAGGCA
rnacentral:tRNA from 1 species